UACGUAGGGUGCAAGCGUUACUCGGAAUUACUGGGCGUAAAGCGUGCGCAGGCGGUUAUGCAAGACAGAUGUGAAAUCCCCGGGCUCAACCUGGGAACUGCAUUUGUGACUGCAUAGCUAGAGUACGGUAGAGGGGGAUAGAAUUCCGCGUGUAGCAGUGAAAUGCGUAGAUAUGCGGAGGAACACCGAUGGCGAAGGCAAUCCCCUGGACCUGUACUGACGCUCAUGCACGAAAGCGUGGGGAGCAAACAGG
rnacentral:rRNA from 1 species